AGAGGUUGAUCAUGGCUCAGGAUGAACGCUGGCGGCGUGCCUAACACAUGCAAGUCGAGCGAGAAACUUAUGAUUGACGCUUCGGUUGAUUUCAUAAGCGGAAAGCGGCGGACGGGUGAGUAACGCGUAGGCAACCUGCCCCUUGCAGAGGGAUAGCCUCGGGAAACCGGGAUUAAAACCUCAUAAUACUGAACUAUCACAUGUUAGCUCAGUCAAAGAUUUAUCGGCAAGGGAUGGGCCUGCGUCUGAUUAGCUGGUUGGUGGGGUAACGGCCUACCAAGGCAAUGAUCAGUAGCCGACCUGAGAGGGUGAUCGGCCACAUUGGAACUGAGACACGGUCCAAACUCC
rnacentral:rRNA from 1 species